AACGAACGCUGGCGGCAGGCCUAACACAUGCAAGUCGAGCGAGACCUUCGGGUCUAGCGGCGGACGGGUUAGUAACGCGUGGGAACGUGCCCUUCUCUGCGGAAUAGCCACUGGAAACGGUGAGUAAUACCGCAUACGCCCUUCGGGGGAAAGAUUUAUCGGAGAAGGAUCGGCCCGCGUUAGAUUAGAUAGUUGGUGGGGUAACGGCCUACCAAGUCUACGAUCUAUAGCUGGUUUUAGAGGAUGAUCAGCAACACUGGGACUGAGACACGGCCCAGACUCCUACGGGAGGCAGCAGUGGGGAAUCUUAGACAAUGGGCGCAAGCCUGAUCCAGCCAUGCCGCGUGAGUGAUGAAGGCCUUAGGGUCGUAAAGCUCUUUCGCCAGAGAUGAUAAUGACAGUAUCUGGUAAAGAAGUCCCGGCUAACUCCGUG
rnacentral:rRNA from 1 species